rnacentral:rRNA from 1 species
AUACGGAGGGUGCAAGCGUUAUUCGGAAUCACUGGGCGUAAAGGACGCGUAGGCGGGUUGGCAAGUCAGAUGUGAAAUCCUACAGCUUAACUGUAGAACUGCAUUUGAAACUGCCGACCUAGAGUAUGGGAGGGGGAGAUGGAAUUAGUGGUGUAGGGGUAAAAUCCGUAGAUAUCACUAGGAAUACCGAAAGCGAAGGCGAUCUCCUGGAACAUAACUGACGCUAAGGCGUGAAAGCGUGGGGAGCAAACAGGAUUAGAAACCCUUGUAGUCC